GGGUAGUAAUAGGAACGCACGUAAUAAGCAACACUUUUCUUUUUUUCUUUAAUGAAAUGAUAUAUAGUCAAAAUGAUGCAGAAUGACUCUUUGAAUUAAACAAACAUCCAAAAUAUAUAAAAGGAAACAUUAAAUUUUAACAUUUCAACACAAAAAAAAUGCAAAAAAUCUGCGUGAGAUGUAACCCUUUCGUAAAAAACAAUCUAUCAUUUAAUGUAUAGUACUAAGUGCUACUGAUAGAGCAACGGCGGAGACAAAUUUGUUAUAAAGCACCUGUAUACAAUGUAGGUAGAAUUAAGUGAUGUACUACUAUUUGUUAAAAAAGUUUUUUUAUGUAUUGUAUUGAUUGAUUGAUUGUUGGUUGCUUAACGUCCAGUGACAAAUAUUUCAUGCAUAUUCAGGACGAGAACAAGUUCACAAUAAAUACAAUAGGUAGGUUGAUACAAUAGAGGCCAUCUGGGAUGAUGGUCGGGGAAAUUUGGACUGCCACUGGAAAAUGAGGGUAUAUUGGAUAGGGACAGAAAUUUUGCCUUGCAACAGGCCACCUACGGACCACUCAAAGAGUUGUUGCAAGGGUUCUUAACGUGCAAAGAGCGUGGCACUCUCUUUACACGAGGCAUCGGAGUUAACGUCCCCCUUCUGACCGGACGUGACUGCGAACUUUAUACAUCCCGCACAGCCAAACGGACGCCCCACUUCGGCAAGCGUUUUACUGCCGGUCGGGAGAAGACCAAGUGACCAUAUUUCUAUACCCCAGUCACCCUUGGGGUUUUAUGUAUUUUAAAACACUGACUACGUCCAUUCCAUUUCUUAGGAAACAAGUUGUAUUAAUUACAAUAAAUUUAAAUAACAACAAAAACCAUAACUUUGUUUUGGUUUGAAAUUUUCUGUGUUCCCUGCUUUCCCCCACCUCAAAACACAGUUAAUUUCUCAUACUUGUCUUUCAUCUUUUUUUUAUUUGGGGGGGGGGGGGGGGUGAAUCAAAUUUUUGUCAGACAUAUCAUAAUAUAUAUAUCGAGAUAAUGAUUUAAAAAAAAAUCUUGUUUGUAUG
rnacentral:lncRNA from 1 species